AUUGAACGCUGGCGGCAUGCUUUACACAUGCAAGUCGAACGGCAGCGCGGGCUUCGGCCUGGCGGCGAGUGGCGAACGGGUGAGUAAUGCAUCGGAACGUGCCCAGUAGUGGGGAUAGCCCGGCGAAAGCCGGAUUAAUACCGCAUACGACCUGAGGGUGAAAGCGGGGGACCGAAAGGCCUCGCGCUAUUGGAGCGGCCGAUGUCGGAUUAGCUAGUUGGUGGGGUAAAGGCUUACCAAGGCGACGAUCCGUAGCUGGUCUGAGAGGACGACCAGCCACACUGGGACUGAGACACGGCCCAGACUCCUACGGGAGGCAGCAGUGGGGAAUUUUGGACAAUGGGGGCAACCCUGAUCCAGCCAUGCCGCGUGCGGGAAGAAGGCCUUCGGGUUGUAAACCGCUUUUGUUCGGGAAGAAAUCCUCUGGGCUAAUACCCCGGGGGAUGACGGUACCGGAAGAAUAAGCACCGGCUAACUACGUG
rnacentral:rRNA from 1 species